AGCUUUGCACAGUGGCAGUAUCGUAGCCAAUGAGGUUUAUCCGAGGCGCGAUUAUUGCUAAUUGGAAAGGUCCACACAGCAAAGAACUGAGGGAGGCUUCUGGCCAACAGCCAAUGAGGAUUUCAAUCCUGCCAACAACCACAUGGGUGAAAUAUAAGUUGAUUCCCCUCCAGAUGA
rnacentral:snRNA from 1 species